rnacentral:lncRNA from 1 species
CCACGUUAACCUUUGAAAUAUCAUAAAAUGUAUAUCUGUUAGACGUGUUGUGCCAACAAAAGAUCUCAUUUUCUAGGAAAGCUAGUACAGGUUCAAUGCAUAAGCAAGUGAUCAAUAGAGAUUUCUAUUUGUUAUGUACAUUGACCCCUUGAAAAAGUGAAAAUCACUUUUUUGAACUUGUAAGAUUUCCAUCUCCAAGAACGACUGAAAAAGUUGUAAAUGUUUUUCAAGAGGCACUAGGAAAUACCAUGAUAGAAUUCUUAAGAGUGACUUACAAUAAAUUAUUAGAUCUACGUUAAUUUCAUUUUCCAUCCCUCUUUUAUGUAUCUUUCCAUCAAAAAUCUUAUCAUUUAUCCCUUUACUUCUACCAAGGGAAGACAAAAAUAACUCAUUCUGAGACAAUUAGCGCAAUAAGUGUCAUUCUUUAGGAGGAUAGACAUACCAUAGUUUUGGCGCACCAUUGUAAACCCAUGAAUUGCCUUUACAAGGGAACCAAAAUUCAUAGACUUCAGUGAUCCCAUAUGCCUGACACAAAAGGUAAAAUCCAUAGUUCUGUUGGAUAUUGGUUAAAUAAAUCAAGAAUUGAAAAAUCGAUUAAAGUGACUUCGUAUCGACUUCGGCCAAAUAAUCAAAAGCUCGACUCAAUC